CGGCGUGCCUAACACAUGCAAGUCGAACGGAGAUUACGCGCUGAUGAAGCUUCGGCAGAAUCUUGUGUAAUCUUAGUGGCGGACGGGUGAGUAACGCGUGGGCAACCUGCCUCAUACUGGGGGAUAGCAGUUGGAAACGACUGAUAAUACCGCAUAAGCGCACAGCAUCGCAUGAUGCAGUGUGAAAAAACUCCGGUGGUAUGAGAUGGGCCCGCGUCAGAUUAGCUAGUUGGUAAGGUAACGGCUUACCAAGGCGACGAUCUGUAGCCGGACUGAGAGGUCGGACGGCCACAUUGGGACUGAGACACGGCCCAAACUCCUACGGGAGGCAGCAGUGGGGGAUAUUGCACAAUGGAGGAAACUCUGAUGCAGCGACGCCGCGUGAAGUGAAGAAGUAUUUCGGUAUGUAAAGCUCUAUCAGCAGGGAAGAAAGGCUCGCAAGAGAGAUGACGGUACCUGACUAAGAAGCCCCGGCUAACUACGUGCCAGCCGCCGC
rnacentral:rRNA from 1 species